rnacentral:lncRNA from 1 species
AUUGAAAAUUUGAAGGAAGAUUUUGAAAUCCAUGAUGCUAUCAUUUUGGGAAGUGCUAUAGAGGUUGGAGGUAAACCCAAGACAUCCAAACCAAGCCAAAACAUGGAUGAACAACUGCUGCUCGAAGAAGAGGAGAAUAACAAGGCCACGGCAAGGGAAGAACCACCAUUGCCGCAGCCUCAUAUGCCCUCUAUGUCGUCCAUUAUAACCAAGGUAAGCCUAAAUUCAAUUUGUCCUGACCCCGUUUCACCAAAUGUCCUUAUUCCUUGCAGGAUCAUGCAAUCCAAGGAAGAAGCGGAUGAGAAAGGCAUCUUCGAAACCUUUCCAAAGAAUCAAGAGCAAGAAGUGGAUGGGGAAUGUCUAGAAUUCAUCAAAGAAUAUACACUUGAGACAAAAAUUCCCAAAUAAGUUGGAUUUUCUGACACGGGACAAGUUAUAACUCUCAAAACACCAAAUCUGGCCAAGUCCCAUAUCUUUGCAACCUUCAAAGAUGUUGUGUUCGUAAUUGAGUUUGUGUUGGAGCAAGCAAGUAAGCCAUCUUCUCCAACUUCAAUUUUAUUAUAUACUAACUUGCUGAUUUUGAUGAUUCAGGCACCUACACUAGAAUUUAAACCAUUGCCUGAUCAUGUCAAGUAUCACCAUCCAUUCAAGGAUCAAUUCCAUGCUAUGGGCCCUAUCCAAGUUUAGAAGGAAGUUUCGUCUGGCUGAAAGACGUUAAAGCAAGCGCUUCUUGGGAGGCAACCCAUGUAUUCAAAUAAGGAAUUUUUUGAAUCGCUCCACAAGCAGUUUUGUGUUUCUAAAAACCUUCCCUUUUCUGCAGUUUUAUUUUGCCAUGAUUAUCAUUUUUAUUUGUUGCUUGUUUAAUUGUUUUUGGUGUGGGUUUAUUUUUGAAACACUGACAGAUAUGCAAGGUAUUUUUACAUUCAUUUUCAUGAAAAAAAAAGGAA